rnacentral:rRNA from 1 species
AAGCGGUGAGCAUGUGGUUUAAUUCGAAGCAACGCGAAAGAACCUUACCAGGUCUUGACAUCCCGAUGCUAUUCUAGAGAUAGAAAGUUACUUCGGUACAUCGGUGACAGGUGGUGCAUGGUUGUCGUCAGCUCGUGUCGUGAGAUGUUGGGUUAAGUCCCGCAACGAGCGCAACCCCUAUUGUUAGUUGCCAUCAUUCAGUUGGGCACUCUAGCGAGACUGCCGGUAAUAAACCGGAGGAAGGUGGGAUGACGUCAAAUCAUCAUGCCCCUUAUGACCUGGGCUACACACGUGCUACAAUGGUUGGUACAACGAGUUGCGAGUCGGUGACGGCGAGCUAAUCUCUUAAAGCCAAUCUCAGUUCGGAUUGUAGGCUGCAACUCGCCUACAUGAAGUCGGAAUCGCUAGUAAUCGCGGAUCAGCACGCCGCGGUGAAUACGUUCCCGGGCCUU